GGUUCCUGGACGGGCUAGAGGUGAUCGC
rnacentral:sRNA from 1 species